rnacentral:misc_RNA from 1 species
AACUUUUAGCAAUGGAUCACUUGACUCUCGCAUGGAUGAAGAACGCAGCGAAAUGCGAUAAGUAAUGUGAAUUGCAGAAUACAGUGAAUCAUCGAAUCUUUGAACGCAUCUUGCGCGCUUUGGUAUUCCGAAGGGCAUGCCUGUUUGAGUAUAAUGAACAACUCAACUCUUCAUGGUUUUCCAUGAUGAGCUUGGACUUUGGGGGUCUUGCUGGCCUGCGGUCAGCUCCUCUCAAAUGGAUCAGCUUACCAGUGUUUGGUGGGCAUCACAGGUGUGAUAACUAUCUGCGCUUGUGGUUUUCCACCAAGUAACCUUCAGCAGUGGAGGUUCACUGGAGCUCACAGAUGUCUCUCCUCAGUGAGGACAGCCCUUUGAAUGUUUGAUCUCAAAUCAGGUAGGACUACCCGCUGAACUUAAGCAUAUCAAUAAGCGGAGGCU